AACGAACGCUGGCGGCAGGCUUAACACAUGCAAGUCGGACGCCCCGCAAGGGGAGUGGCAGACGGGUGAGUAACGCGUGGGAAUCUACCCAGAACUUCGGAACAACUGAGGGAAACUUCAGCUAAUACCGGAUACGCCCUACGGGGGAAAGAUUUAUCGGUUCUGGAUGAGCCCGCGUUGGAUUAGCUAGUUGGUGGGGUAAUGGCCUACCAAGGCGACGAUCCAUAGCUGGUCUGAGAGGAUGAUCAGCCACACUGGGACUGAGACACGGCCCAGACUCCUACGGGAGGCAGCAGUGGGGAAUAUUGGACAAUGGGCGAAAGCCUGAUCCAGCCAUGCCGCGUGAGUGAUGAAGGCCUUAGGGUUGUAAAGCUCUUUCAGUGGGGAAGAUAAUGACGGUACCCACAGAAGAAGCCCUGGCUAACUUCGUGCCAGCCGCCGCAGUAAAAC
rnacentral:rRNA from 1 species